rnacentral:sRNA from 1 species
CCCACCCGCACAGACGCCUCCGCCCUGGUGGCAGCUCUGACCCGCUUCUCCCACCUGGCUGCGGAUACCAUCAUCAAUGGCGGUGCCACCUCGCACCUGGCUCCCACCGACCCUGCCGACCGCCUCAUAGACACCUGCAGGGAGUGCGGGGCCCGGGCUCUGGAGCUCAUGGGGCAGCUGCAGGACCAGCAGGCUCUGCGGCACAUGCAGGCCAGCCUGGUGCGGACACCCCUGCAGGGCAUCCUUCAGCUGGGCCAGGAACUGAAACCCAAGAGCCUGGAUGUGCGGCAGGAGGAGCUGGGGGCCAUGGUCGACAAGGAGAUGGCGGCCACAUCCGCAGCCAUUGAAGAUGCCGUGCGGAGGAUCGAGGACAUGAUGAACCAGGCACGCCACGCCAGCUCGGGGGUGAAGCUGGAGGUGAACGAGAGGAUCCUCAACUCCUGCACAGACCUGAUGAAGGUGAGGGGCUGUGACCUGGGGGGGUCUGCACCUGGAGGGCCACCAGUCAUUGCUGUCUUGGUCUCGGCAGGCUAUCCGGCUUCUGGUGACGACAUCCACUAGCCUGCAGAAGGAGAUCGUGGAGAGCGGCAGGGUGAGGGGCCGGCGGCAGCAGGGCACAGUCCACAAGGAGCCUGACCCCCAGCCUAGGCCACCCUGGGCAUGAGACCCUCCACCCCCUACCACAGGGAGGCCUCAGGGAUGUGCCCUAUG